UCUAAGGGACAAACAGUGGACAAACAGCUCCAUACUGUAGGGACCCAGCUUCCUCUUCCCUCUGCUCUACCACAGGGGGUCAGCUGCUUUCAUCUUGCAGGCAUCCCGGGAAGACUCCCUCUUUAUUAUCCCAUUCAUCAUCACGUGAAACUGAUGAGAAUCUUCACAGUGGUCCAGAGAAAGGGCCUGAAAUUAAUAGGAGCUGAAGUUUUCUAUAAGGCGACAUCAUUUAACAGCUGCUAUUCUGAGCUUCAGCUUCCCUUCCCCCCGGUUACUACACAGAAUGUUGAACAAUGCCUGUAAUUUACAAUGUUUUGAUUUGGAAAUAUGACAUUAGCAAGGUACACCGAGCAAUAAUAUCAACAGUACUCGGUCAUUUGUGACUUUCAGACAAUCGUGACAGUAUGAGGGGAACACAAGAAAGAGCUAGGAAAGGGACUCUG